rnacentral:rRNA from 1 species
AUUGAACGCUGGCGGCAGGCCUAACACAUGCAAGUCGAGCGAGCGGCGGACGGGUGAGUAAUGUAUGGGGACUGCCCGAUAGAGGGGGAUAACUACUGGAAACGGUGGCUAAUACCGCAUACUAUCGGAUAACCCAUAUGGGAUUAGCUAGUAGGUGGGGUACAGGCUCACCUAGGCGACGAUCUCUAGCUGGUCUGGGAGGGUGGUCAGCCACAAUGGGACUGAGAAACGGCCCAGACGCUUCGGGAGCCAUGAGGGGAGAAUAAUGCACAAUGGGCGCAAGCCUGAUGCAGCGAGGCCGAGUGUAUGAAGAAGGCCUUAGGGUUGUAAAGUACUUUCAGCGGGGAGGCGUUAACCGCAGGAGAAGCACAGGCUAAGUCCGUGCCAGCAGCCGCGGUAAUUC